rnacentral:rRNA from 1 species
UAUUUUUAAAGGGCCGCGGUAUACUGACCGUGCGAAGGUAGCAUAAUCAUUAGUCUUUUAAUUGAAGGCUUGUAUGAAUGGUUGGACAAAAAGUAAUCUGUCUCAAUUAUAAUAGUUGAACUUAACUUUUAAGUGAAAAGGCUUAAAUACUUUAAGGGGACGAUAAGACCCUAUAAAACUUAACAAUAAUUUGAUUAAAUUAUAAAUUGUUAGUAUAACUUGAUUUUAAUUAAUGUUUGUUGCGUUGGGGCGACGGGAAUAUAAUUAGUAACUGUUCUUAAAUAUUUUAUUAACAAGUAUAAUUGAAGAAUAAUUGAUCCUUUAUUAAAGAUUAAAAGAUUAAGUUACUUUAGGGAUAACAGCGUAAUCUUCUUUGAGAGUCCUCAUCGACAAGAAGGUUUGCGACCUCGAUGUUGAAUUAAGGUAUCCUUAUAAUGCAG